ACGUAGGGUGCGAGCGUUAAUCGGAAUUACUGGGCGUAAAGCGUGCGCAGGCGGUUUGUUAAGAUAGGCGUGAAAUCCCCGGGCUCAACCUGGGAACUGCGUUUAUGACUGGCAGGCUAGAGUAUGGCAGAGGGGGGUGGAAUUCCACGUGUAGCAGUGAAAUGCGUAGAGAUGUGGAGGAACACCGAUGGCGAAGGCAGCCCCCUGGGCCAAUACUGACGCUCAUGCACGAAAGCGUGGGUAGCAAACAGGAUUAGAUACCCUGGUAGUCCACGCCCUAAACGAUGUCAACUAGGUGUUGGGUGGGUAAAACCAUUUAGUACCGGAGCUAACGCGUGAAGUUGACCGCCUGGGGAGUACGGCCGCAAGGUUA
rnacentral:rRNA from 1 species